UACGUAGGGUGCAAGCGUUAAUCGGAAUUACUGGGCGUAAAGCGUGCGCAGGCGGUUUUGUAAGUCUGUUGUGAAAUCCCCGGGCUUAACCUGGGAAUGGCAAUGGAGACUGCAAGGCUAGAGUUUGGCAGAGGGGGGUAGAAUUCCACGUGUAGCAGUGAAAUGCGUAGAGAUGUGGAGGAACACCGAUGGCGAAGGCAGCCCCCCUGGGUCAAA
rnacentral:rRNA from 1 species